rnacentral:rRNA from 1 species
AGCGAACGCUGGCGGCAGGCUUAACACAUGCAAGUCGAGCGGGCAUCCUUGUGGUGUCAGCGGCAGACGGGUGAGUAACGCGUGGGAACGUGCCCUUCGGUUCGGAAUAACUCAGGGAAACUUGAGCUAAUACCGGAUACGUGCGAGAGCAGAAAGGUUUAUCUGCCGAAGGAUCGGCCCGCGUCUGAUUAGCUAGUUGGUGAGGUUAUGGCUCACCAAGGCGACGAUCAGUAGCUGGUCUGAGAGGAUGAUCAGCCACACUGGGACUGAGACACGGCCCCGACCCUCCCGGGGGGGGCAGGGGGGGAGAAUAUGAGACGGGGGGGAACCCCGUCCCCCCCACUCCCCGGGAGGGUGAUGGGGCUUGGGGGGUUAAAACGCUUUUUUCCCGGGGAAUAAAAAGGGGACCGGGGGGAAAAACCCCCCGUAACACCGU